GAGAAUGUUGGCAUGAGUAGCGAGAUGUGGGUGAGAAUCCCACAGGCCGUAAACCCAAGGUUUCCAGGGGAAGGUUCGUCCGCCCUGGGUUAGUCGGGACCUAAGCUGAGGCCGAAAGGCGUAGGUGAUGGACAACAGGUUGAUAUUCCUGUACUACCGAUAACCGUUUGAGAGAUGGGAUGACACAGUAGGAUAAGCUAAGCACACUGUUGGUUAUGUGUGCCCAAGCAUUGAGGCAGUCAAAGUAGGUAAAUCCGCUUUGAUAAUGCUGGGAUGUGAUGGGGAGCGAAAUUUAGUAGCGAAGUAGCUGAUUUCAC
rnacentral:rRNA from 1 species